AUGCGGCUAUUUCAUGUUGGAACACUCGUUCUCAUCCGAUCCCCGAAGUUAAGCAACGUUCACCCUGGUCAGUACUUAGACAGGUGUUCGCUCGGGAAUACCGGAUGUUGUAAG